rnacentral:lncRNA from 1 species
AUGAUGUUCUGCAGAGGCACAGGGACCCUUUCAUUUCACAAUCCCAACCAAUGUCGCGGGAAGCCGGCAAAGCCUCGCUGCUCCUGGUGCGUGGCGAGCUGCUCGUGCGCGGCGCUGGCAAACAACCCUGCUGGGUGCUUUCUUACGAGGCCUGCAGACAGCAUCCUCUGGAUUCGCCCUGCUUCGCACCAACGUGGCAGGCUUCCGAUUAUUUCUCAUCCUGGCUUUUCACAGCCCGCUAGGUUUUAUCUUUUCCUCUCAAGCAGAGGGCCCAGAGAGACAGAAAAAAAAAAAAAAAAGAAAAAAAAAAAAAGAGUUUUGAGAGCUUGCAGCACCCAACGCUGCAACAGCUGUAAACAAAAGCAAAAUUUAAAUAAAUGUAGAAAUAAAAAAGAAACCACAAAGCAAGCAAGCAAACAAAAAACUAAAACCAGAGCAGCGGCAGCAUUUGCUGAGACGUGUCUGGGGAAGAGCAGGCGUCCACGCACCAGGACAGGUUGCUUUGCAGCUGGCUCCGAGCACGCUCCUCUGCUUGGCCGCAUCCCAGCCGGCGCAGUUUUCAACAAUAAACACGGCUUCCAUCGGGAACCACCCUCCGGACCCCGCACGCCGUUUCCACUUCAGUGUAAGAGACUCGCCCGCAUCCACGCAGCCCCAAAACAGGCCUGGAGAGUCCGAGGGAGGCAGCCCUGGAUCCGUGGAGCACGCCAGGCUUUUUCCAAGCUGCACGCGCCAGAGGGCAGCGAUGGCACCUGUGCCAUGUCCCCUGCACCCGGUGCUGGGACACCAGGGGACACCGGGGACCGCGACUCCGUGCACCCUGGGCACCAGCGAGGCUGCAGCGAGCAGAGGUCCCCACGAGCAUCCCUGCCCAGAAGGGGACUCAGAUAUGAGGAGGACUCAAAGGCAAGAGGGGAAUGGGGGAAAGGGGUGGCGGGGGGAUGUCCCUUGCCCUUUGGGCUCCCUGGGUUUGCUUGCUUGGGGAGGGACAGACAGACAGACAGAGCCUCCAGCCUGCACAAUAGGCGAUUUCCUGAGAAAGGGCAGCGUAUCCAGCGGCACAAAAGGCUCUUAUGCUGCUGCCCAGCAGCGGUGGGGAGCUGCCAGAGCCCACAAGAGCCGAGGGAGCUGCUGGGGUCCCCCUACUACCAGCCCCCAGCUCCCCUUCGAGGACACAAAAACGGUGCCGGCACCAUCCCGGCCAGGAGGCACGUCCCACUGGCAAGAGUUACCGCGAUGUUUGCAAGCAGCUGCACGUAA